rnacentral:rRNA from 1 species
AGCUCCAAGAAUACGCGGAGGAGGUGGCCCGGGUCGGCGUCGGCACCGUCCGGCGCGGGCCACGGGCCCGCUUCCAAGUGCGUCUGCGUGCCGGCCGCCCACGCCGGGUCCUUCAAGUGCCGCUUCCACCGCACCAACUCCCAGGGCCAGGGAAGCCGCCCUUCUUCGCCCCCUUCACCGGCCGCGGCCAACGCGGUGCCGCGGCACCCGGCCUCGCCGUCCUCGUCCUCCGGCACCGUCGCGACCUAG